UACGGAAGGUGCAAGCGUUGUUCGGAUUGACUGGGCGUAAAGAGCACGUAGGCGGGCUCGUAAGUCGAUUGUGAAAUCCCCAGGCUUAACCUGGGAACUGCAGUCGAAACUGUGAGUCUUGAAUGUUGAAGAGGUUGGUAGAAUUCCAGGUGUAGAAGUGAAAUUCGUAGAGAUCUGGAGGAAUACCGGAGGCGAAGGCGGCCGACUGGUCAAACAUUGACGCUGAGGUGCGAAAGCGUGGGGAGCAAACAGG
rnacentral:rRNA from 1 species